AGCCAAUGAUGUGUUGAAGAGUAGUGGACAGAACAGGUUUCUGAAAACUUUGCACUGAGGCU
rnacentral:snoRNA from 1 species